rnacentral:tRNA from 1 species
UGAGGUAUGGUGUAAUGGCAGCACAAGAGAUUCUGGUCCUCUUAGUGGCGGUUCGAGCCCGUCUACCUCAA